rnacentral:rRNA from 1 species
GACGAACGCUGGCGGCGUGCUUAACACAUGCAAGUCGAACGGAAAGGCCCUGCUUUUGUGGGGUGCUCGAGUGGCGAACGGGUGAGUAACACGUGAGUAACCUGCCCUUGACUUUGGGAUAACUUCAGGAAACUGGGGCUAAUACCGGAUAGGAGCUCCUGCUGCAUGGUGGGGGUUGGAAAGUUUCGGCGGUUGGGGAUGGACUCGCGGCUUAUCAGCUUGUUGGUGUGGUAGUGGCUUACCAAGGCUUUGACGGGUAGCCUGCCUGAGAGGGUGACCGGGCACAUUGGGACUGAGAGACGGAGCAGAAGCGUACGGGAGGCAGCAGUGGGGAAUAUUGCACAAUGGGCGGAAGCGUGAUGCAGCAACGCCGCGUGCGGGAUGACGGGUUUUGGGUUGUAAACAGAUGUCGCCGGUGCUGAAGCGUGAGUGACGGUAAUGGGUAAAGAAGCAACGGCUAACUACGUG